GGGAGUUGGACUUUCGCAUUGGAGAAGUCUGACGGAGCAACGCCGCGUGAGUGAUGAAGGUUUUCGGAUCGUAAAGCACUGUUGUUAGGGAAGAACAAGUGCAAGAGUAACUGCUUGCACCUUGACGGUACCUAACCAGAAAGCCACGGCUAACUACGUGCCAGCAGCCGCGGUAAUACGUAGGUGGCAAGCGUUGUCCGGAAUUAUUGGGCGUAAAGGGCUCGCAGGCGGUUUCUUAAGUCUGAUGUGAAAGCCCCCGGCUCAACCGGGGAGGGUCAUUGGAAACUGGGAAACUUGAGUGCAGAAGAGGAGAGUGGAAUUCCACGUGUAGCGGUGAAAUGCGUAGAGAUGUGGAGGAACACCAGUGGCGAAGGCGACUCUCUGGUCUGUAACUGACGCUGAGGAGCGAAAGCGUGGGGAGCGAACAGGAUUAGAUACCCUGGUAGUCCACGCCGUAAACGAUGAGUGCUAAGUGUUAGGGGGUUUCCGCCCCUUAGUGCUGCAGCUAACGCAUUAAGCACUCCGCCUGGGGAGUACGGUCGCAAGACUGAAACUCAAAGGAAUUGACGGGGGCCCGCACAAGCGGUGGAGCAUGUGGUUUAAUUCGAAGCAACGCGAAGAACCUUACCAGGUCUUGACAUCCUCUGACAACCCUAGAGAUAGGGCUUUCCCUUCGGGGACAGAGUGACAGGUGGUGCAUGGUUGUCGUCAGCUCGUGUCGUGAGAUGUUGGGUUAAGUCCCGCAACGAGCGCAACCCUUGAUCUUAGUUGCCAGCAUUCAGUUGGGCACUCUAAGGUGACUGCCGGUGACAAACCGGAGGAAGGUGGGGAUGACGUCAAAUCAUCAUGCCCCUUAUGACCUGGGCUACACACGUGCUACAAUGGACAGAACAAAGGGCUGCGAGACCGCAAGGUUUAGCCCAAUCCCACAAAUCUGUUCUCAGUUCGGAUCGCAGUCUGCAACUCGACUGCGUGA
rnacentral:rRNA from 1 species